GCCCCCAUCGUCUAAGGGUAGGACGUCAGACUUUCAAUCUGAUAAUCGGAGUUCAAUUCUCCGUGGGGGUGC
rnacentral:tRNA from 2 species